AGAGGCGCACUGUGCAAACAUCUGGUCCAUCAGCUGGAUCCUAUGCAUCAGCGGGCACAGGGACACACUGGGACAGCAUGAGGAGGACAGUCCUGAGGAAGAAAACGGCGCUGGUUGCUCCUCUUCAGCGACGCCAGGAGCAAAAAAGAGGAGAAGGAGGUGGAGGAGGCAGGAAACUAAGAGAAGAGGAGUAAAAAUGCAAGUAAAUCUAGAAAGAAAGAGUUACUGAUGAAAACAUGGAGCCGAGAUAGAACAGGAA